UUAUGUCAAUCGGUGGAAUUCGUAUGGAAGUUGUGGGAAACCACCCUCAUUUUACAAAACUCACGAUCCGGAAACGUGCAAGUUAGAAUCGUUUUAAUUUUGGAAAGGUUUUAUAAAAGACCGUUGGAAUUGGGAAGCCAAAAGGUUAAGGUUGGUGUAUUGGUGCAUAAAAUAUACCUUCUCCACUCUUCCUUCUUCACUUCACUCAUCCCGCUCUGCUCUCCAAACACCUUCGGAGACGACUGAUCGCGACCUCUGUAACUCAGCUCACCGGAGACACAAGCACCCCCACCCUUCGUAGGACUAGGACACUCACAACCAUGUCGGCUUCAAAUUGCAAAUGUUGUAUGCAUCAGAUGUUGGACAAGUACCAAAUGUUGAGGAAACAAUGAGGAUUCAGACUUGUACUUAGAGCCAUCCAUCACCUAUAGAAUUAGAAACUGUAACCAUCUACGAUGAAGCCUUUGAUAAUCUAUUACAUAUGUCUAAUGCUUCUUCUGGUCAGCAUCUUUGCUUUUUAUUCAGCAGAGAGGAUGUGGGUGUACAGGUAGCUAUAACUAUGAGUCUAUGACCCUGUUUUUGUAUUUCCAGAAAUACCCCUCUGUCCCUAAAUAUUGCAUGGAAAAUGCCUUCAUCACUUAUUUAGUAUGCCUGCAAAUUGAGACAUGAGGGAAGGGAAAUGCCACAUGGUGUGGUCUUUGGUGGGAUGAAAUGUUAGAAACAAGUGGUCAAUAUAAAGAGGGUGUUGGUGUUUAAGGAACCUCUUCGUUCAGAUGUGAUUCUUGAACAAGCAUCUUUUUGCUGUUACCUUUUAGCCAAACUAAUUAUAUUAAGAAAGAUUAUGCACAACAUCCAGCUGAAGAAGUUGAUGAAUACAUACUCUGAUAAACACGAGGAUAACUAGAGCACUCAAGAGCACAUAGAUAUCUGGAGAAGAAGCUAAAUGACAGUAUAUGAUGAUGCCAAGAACCGAAUCAAGUUCCACAAUCAACACGACCCCCCCUUGCAAGGUAUGCACUAAUCAAGGCUAUCUCUCAUUAAGGCAUAAGAAUCAAAUUUUUUUUAUACUCGUAUCAGAUGUAUGUAUACUAUACUGUAUAUUUUGUAUUUUGCCAGCCUUAUUUGAUUUUCUGAUUUGAAUCAGCUCAUAUGCAACUUUGAGAAAUGAUUGAUCGAAAGCGUUCAUGAGAUAUUGUCUCUGUAAAUUGAAGCUUCAUUGAUUUAAAUUUAGUCGUGUAAUGUUUUCUGUGUUUAUUUUCAGAUUAAAAAUAUUAAUUCUUUUUUGAAUAAUGGCAACAAGAGAGGCAGAUAUGAUGCAGCUAGUUUCUUUACCAAUGAUGAUGGAUAUCAUAUCACCAAAUUGGUUAUGAUAAUAACAAGCCUCAAAACUUAUGUUAAAUUUUUAAGGAAAAUUGUGGGAAAUAACAAGGUAUGCUAUUAGUUCCAAUGGAUAUAAUCAAAUAACUAAUAAGGGUGUUGUUAUCAUUGAAUCUCACAUAAGGGUAUUUAUGCCUUCAUGUUACGAAAUUAUGAACUUGCUUUAUCAAAUUACCACAUUCUAUCCACUGAUUACAUGAUGACAACGCAUUGAAGUGGUAUGCAGGUAGCUAUGAGUCUAUGACCCUGUUUGUGUAUUUCCAGAAGUACCACUCAUUCCCUAAAACUUGUGCUUAUUUAUUAAAACAUUAAAAAAAAAGUGGCCUAUAUAAAUAGGUAAUUUAGAUGCUAAGCUAUAAAACCUUCUAUUAAAACAUUAUACUUUCAUAAUCUAACCUAUGAAGACAUUGUAAUUUUAUUAUCUUUCCUAUUAAGUCAGUGUACUUUGAAAAACUAAACAUGUUUGAAGGUAAAACUUGUACUUAUUUAUUACUUCAGGAAAUGGUGUGGUCUUUGGUAGAUUGAAACAUUAAAAACAAGCAUUUUAUUAUUGUUACUUUUUAGCCAAACCAAUUACAUUAAGUUUGGAUUUCAUUUUUAAAACCAAACAUAUUAAGACAUUGUUUUAAUUUCUUUUUUCUAUAAGACAAGGUAAUUCUAAUUUCCUUACCGUUAAGAUUUUUUUGAAAAUCUAACUACUUAUAAUAUUAUACUUUCAAAAUCCAACCUAUUAGGAAGUUGUAUAUUUUUUAUGUUAAUCUGAAGGCUAAACUUGAUUAGCAUUAUACCUUCACUUAUUUUCUAUUAAGAUUGUAUUUUCAGUUUUAACAUGAUACUAUUCCUUAUGACAUCAUACCUUCGAAAUCUAACAUAUUAACCCACAAUGUACCUAGUUUUUUGUUUCUUUCUAUUAUGACUUUAUUUUUUGAAUGUUAACCUCUAAAGAUAUUAUUAUACUUCUAAAAUCUAAAUUUGUUUUAUUUUGGUUACCAACUAUAGCAUUAUACUUUCAUUUGUUUUCCUAUUAAAAUGUACUUUCAUGGUAAUUUAUGUUAUGUUUUGCCCUGUUUCAAAGGUUUUGUUCAGAUUCUUGCACAUGUUUCAUAAAUUUUGGGUUUUGAUUUUUUGUCAUGUUGAAAAUAUUUUAGCUUCCUACAUAUGAAGUUUUUAGUUGAAGUUUGCUACUCUGAAAUCCAACCAAUACAGUUAUACAGAUGAAAUGCUAGGAACUUGGUUAGGCUGAGAUGAUUAUGUCUGAUAAAAGAGGGACUUUAACUUGUAACCAAAUGGAGUUCAGGAAUGCUAAAGCAGCUAUUGCUAUCUCUGUAUCAGAAGUUACACAGAUGGAUUCAUUGAACUUACCUAAUUCUCCUUAAUACAUGUUCAUAUCAGUAUAGCUUUCUAAUGUUUUGAUUUGUUAAUUGUGCAGACACCUGAGAAUCUUCAUUUGUCAAAGAAGUUGAUCAAAUGAUCAUCAGAAGACAUGAAUGUAUUUCCUGUGAAUAACUUUCAAAAUCCUCUUUAAAAGAAGUUUGUCUUCAUUAGAGCUUCCAAGAUCUCUCUCUCUCUCGAUCGAUCGAAUGGAACGCCUUCAUCUUCAGAAGAUACUUUAUACAGCCUUGUUCAUCGUCAAAGUCAAAGUCAAAGUCAAGGUCAAAAUGAAAGGAGGAAAAAUAUUUGUGCUCCCAAAAGACCACCAGCUCUCGAAAUGCCCCCCAUUGAUGCCCCCAUAGUUCCCAAAGAGUCCCUGAGUACCCUCUGACCCUCUUGAGGAUAACCGGAGCAGUCAAUAGCAACUACAAAUCUGGAGAAAAAGCUCCUAAAUGACUAUAUACGAUGAUGCCAAGGUUUUACUCUUCUAUCUCGUGAUUUCAUCAUCAGAGAAUGAAAGCAAAGAUUGACAAAAAAACGUUUUCGGAAGCGACAAGUCCCGACUACAGACACGUCUUCUCGCAAUAGCUGUUACGAUCGAUUUGAAAAACCCUAGCAAUGGAAGCGACAAUCGUUCAUUUUUGUUUCAUGCUGGUAAACAGGAGAUUUCAAGGUUUCCAAUCUUCAAUAAAUUUUUAGUUUUCUUUAGACUUGUGGAGAAGCUGAUGUGGGUGCUUCGUUUAAUCGAUUAUUUUUUUCAGUUAAAGAUGAAGAAUGUGGUUAAUUUCUCAAUUUAGUUUCAUUUUAUGUUUUUUUACCCUAAAGGACUAUAGCGUAAAUGUGCUUUUUUUUCUUUGUUUUUGGUCGAAUCAUGCUUGAUAUGUGUUAUUUGACAACAAGGGUGUUACAGAUCAGCUAUGCCAUACAAGAGGACUCUGCCAAGCUGCCUGAAGAUCUCUCCUCAAGAUGUAAGUAAAUCUCAAUAAUUCAUGGCUUUCUUUGUUUUGAUGCCUUCAAUUACUUUUAAAGUUAGUUAUUAAUCAUCGAGAAUCAAGUGCAAAAGUAUGAAAAAGGGUAAUUUUGAACAAAAAGAGACAUUUCAUUCAGACAUCACGUAAUAAGCUAUUUCAUUGGGUGAAACGUGAAAGAGCACCCUGAAUAUCCUGAUAACCCCCGCAUCAACAUCACAAAAAAGAUAUUAGUGAUUCUUAUUGAAAAAAACUAGGGACAAAAAAUUUCUCCUUAAUAAGUCUUAAAUUUACCAGUUUGCCCUAUUUUUUGCUUCUCUUCCAUUUCUUCAAUAUUUUUAUUUAAGUAUUUAUAAUUUAUAAUAAUUCAUGUAUAUUGUUACACACGUAUAUUUGAUAUAAAACAAUGUAUUUGUAAUUCUUUAUGUUCACUCUUUUUUCACAAAGUGAAAAAUCAUAUUCUCAUAGACCAAGUUCCAUUGUUACACUGUUGAAGCUAAUGAUCAAAUUAAUUUGUAACUCAUGUAAAAAACGAGAGAAAAACACUCUAAAUCGUUUUUGCUAACUUCAAUAUGAUUCGGAUUGUAAACCAUUUCAAUGCAAAAGGGUGAAUUAAUUUUCGAUCAUCCAUUUAUCAUAAAAGCAUGGCAUCUGGGCUAACUUAGUAUAAUUUAUGUUGUAAUCAUGUAUCCUUUUGAGUUGCUUUUUGUUGUAUUGUUGUUC